CAAAUACUUUUUUCCUCACUGUAGAAAUGGUUACUGGGGUCACACAAAUAAGUGGAUCCAGAGCCCCUGCCUAACCUCGAGGUUGUAGAUGGUUGCAUAGGGUUGUCUUAUGCUAAAUCCUGCUCUGAUAGCUGGUAUUAGUGGGUUCUUUAUCAUGGCAUAAGGUGGCAUGGAGAAAUUCUGGUAAAGUUGAAAUAAAACUUGAAAGAACAAAUUAAUGGUUGUUUUUGUUAAUAAUACUACCUUACUAUUUCAUCGUUGUACUUAUGCAGGUAAGCAACUAAAUUGAAUUGGUGAAAAUGUUUAAAAGACAACAUAAAUACACGAUGAUGUGCAUG